rnacentral:snRNA from 1 species
AUACAUUUCUCGGCCUUUUGGCUAAGAUCAGGUGUAGCAUCUGUUAUAAUCGGUUUAAUAACUUGACAGUUUUGAGUUAUAGAGGAAAACUUAU